AAGCUCGUAGUUGAAUUUCGGGGUUCUUCCGUUGGUCAGGCUAACAAGUCUGUACUAGCGUGUAGAAUCUCUACCUUCUGGGGAACCAUCAUGUUAUUAAUUUAGCGUGGUGGGAAACCAGGACCUUUACCUUGAAAAAAUUAGAGUGUUCAAAGCAGGCUUACGUCUGAAUACAUUAGCAUGGAAUAAUAAAAUAGGACGGUGGUCCUGUUUUGUUGGUUUCUGAAUCACCGUAAUGAUUAAUAGGGAUAGUUGGG
rnacentral:rRNA from 2 species